GACGAACGCUGGCGGCGUGCUUAACACAUGCAAGUCGAACGGUGAACCUCUUCGGAGGGGAUCAGUGGCGAACGGGCGAGUAACACGUGGGCAACCUGCCCCCGGCUCUGGGAUAACUCCAAGAAUUUGGGGCUAAUAACGUAUGUUCACCGCUUCUUGCAAGGGUGGUGGUGCAAAGGGUAUGCGGCUGGGGCUGGGCCCGCGGCCAAUCAGCUUGUUGGUGGGGUCGAGGCCUACCAAGGAGACGACGGGUAGCCCGCCUUAGAGGGUGACCGGGCACCCGGGGCCUGAGGCACGGCCCAGUCGGCUACGGGACGCAGCAGGGGGGAGUAUUGCGCAAUAGGCGGAAGCCUGACGCAGCGACGCCGCGAGGGGGAAGACGGCCUUCGGGUUGUAAACCACUUUCAGCAGGGACGAAGCGGAAGUGACGGUACCUGCAGAAGAAGCACCGGCCAACUACGUG
rnacentral:rRNA from 1 species